AAGAGGCGACGAUGAAGUGGUGGUGGUCCGGCAACAGUGGGCACACUGAAACCACCACCAACAGCCACGGCCACCUCUUCCUCUCACCGAAACAGAGCCACCACCACGAGUUCCCACAGUUACGGCCACAACACCACCGCGAGACCUUCUCCCAUGGCUAUGGAGCUCCACACCGAGAAGGCAUCACCACCGUCAUAAUCACCUCCGCGAGACCUUCUCCCAUGACUUCUGGGUUGUUACCCCACCCUAAAUUACAAAACCAGAUAUUAUCCUCACAAAACCUCCUCGCCUUAACCACCCCCAAAAAUUCCAGACAGAUCUGAAAAAUAUGGGUCUAUCAUGGUAUAAAGAUGGUGCCU
rnacentral:lncRNA from 1 species